rnacentral:rRNA from 1 species
GACGGAGGGUGCUAGCGUUGUUCGGAAUGGCUGGGCGUAAAGGGCGCGUAGGCGGCCGCUUGCGUCGGAUGUGAAAGCCCGGGGCUCAACCCCGGAACGGCAUCCGAUACGGGGCGGCUCGAGACCGAGAGAGGUGAGUGGAAUACCCAGUGUAGAGGUGAAAUUCGUAGAUAUUGGGUGGAACACCGGUGGCGAAAGCGGCUCACUGGCUCGGUUCUGACGCUGAGGCGCGAAAGCGUGGGGAGCAAACAGG